rnacentral:sRNA from 1 species
CUUACCUAGACAACAGGAUAGGUCAGAGUUAGAGGAACCGAAACAGUUCAGAGCCCACCCUACCCAGGAGAUGGCCUGGAACCCUGCAGGUCUCCAGGAGUGGUGACAGCAGUGGUGGAUAAACUGGACAAGGAGGCAUUUCAGAAGCUCCAUGCAGAAGACAACCCCUAACUCCAGAUGACUGAUUCUCUCACAAAUAAAAGGACAAAGAUGUCAAAGCUCUCAGCUAUCAACAUGCUUGUCUGCUUCCUGCCAUGAUGAGGGUGGACUAACCCUCAGAAACUGUAAGCUUAAUUUAAAUGUUUAGCUUAAGCUUAAGUUAAAUGUUUUCUCUUAUAAGAACUGUCUCAGUUCUGGUGUCUCUUCAGAGCGGUGGAGCAGUGGCUGAGACACAGAGGAUCUCUGGAGCAAGCUGGCUAGCCAGACUAAUUGUACUGGUGAACCCUGGGUUCAAUUGAGAGACCCUGCCUCAGUGAACUAUUGAAGAGCAAUUGAGGAAGAUUUCUAAUGUCAUCCUCAGGACUGGGGUCGUCAUCACUGGAAGAGCAGCGACCGCCACUCCAGAUGCUUGCUCUCUGUGAAUAGCAGCAGAUUGUGUCAGGGCGCUGAGCCCUGAACCUCAGCACCAAGGGGAAUGGCAGAGCAUCAACUCAGAGAAUGCUGACUUUGCUUUUAGAGAACCAAACAGACUUUGGUGCCAGAAGUGGUUCUAGAGCAACAGAAGUAUAAGGAUGAACUUUAAGACUGUGGAAUAGACUUCCCAGUUUGCAGCACCUGCAGUCACUGAGACCUUCUCCAGUUACUGAGACCUCUUUUAGAAGCCCAGAGACUACUGGAAACCCAUGAUGUAAACUAUUUGGUAGACUUAAAAAGACUAAUGCAUUAUAUUAUCCUGAUCCAUCGAUGGUUAAAGGCAAUGGAUUUGGUGACUCUGUUUCAAAAACCUUUGACAGUUUAUGGAAAAAAUACGGAAAUGAUGGUGCUGGCUGGUUGCCCCUAGCAUCUCUGGAUAAAUUGGCAAAGGAAAAGAAUGAGCUGCAGGAUAAGAUUAACCAACUUCUAGCAUCUCAGAAUGUGGCACAGGGCAACAGUGAACUCAGUGGGAAACAGACCAGCUCCAGACACACAGAAACAACCUAAAGGUUUCUAAGUUGCCCUGGAAGAGGAUCUUCUUUCCAGCAGUCCCAGAAUUCAAGUUGCGAAAAGAUCAAACUGAAGCCCUUAUUAUAAGGUUGGGUGAAUUAUAACAAAAAAAAUUCAAGUUCCAGGCUCAGAGGAUCAAUGGUGAAAGCGAGGGCGUUGCCAAUGGAAAGAGUAAGUUCUGUAACUUAGGCUGAGGAUGUGUGGAGAGCCCGAUUGAAGCUGAGAACAUCCAAACCCAGAUUCUCAAGGGUUUAUCUCACCUGAGGAGGUCGUUUCCCCACCCUCAGCAGAAGAUGCGUUCCAACAACCUGAAAUACUGCCCUUUUCACCUUUGACUGUGGAAACCAAUCCUUCAUUGUCUGCUAAACUAGCAGUGUCUUUCUCUGGAGGAGAUGUCAGGCACACAAUAUUGAUGUUCUUCAGGGCUGACUAACAGUUUCCUCUAGACCCAUAACCAGACUUAAGGCUAAGCAGGCUCCUAGGGGGGAGCUCGGAGAGUCCAUGAGGAGGUGCACUACACUGACGAGCUUAAUGACUUUGCUAAUUCAUUCAAGCAGAAGUCUGGGGAAUAUGUGUGGGAGUGGAUUUUAAGGGUGUGGGUUAACGGUGGAAGGAACAUAGAACUGGAUCAUGCUGAGUGUAUUGAUGUGGGGCCCACUGAAUGAAGAGUCUAGGUUUAGUAAGGAAGCUUGUACAGUUUUGUUUUUAAAAGUGUCAAGGGUUGGGGAUUUAGCUCAGUGGCAGAGCGCUUGCCUAGUAAACGCAAGGCCCUGGGUUCGGUCACCAGCUCUGAAAAAAAAAAAGAAAAGAAAAAAAGAAGAAGUGUCAAACGUUUGUUUGAAUGGUCGGCUCACACAUUUGUCAAAAGAUGGCCUACUGAAAAGGAAUUGGAGAUUCAUGAUAUCCCUUGGCUUAGUGUUGAUGAGGGGAGUGUAAGGCUCAGGGAAGACGCCGUGCUAGAGUGGGCACUGUCCCAGAAGACUCGCCCUUCACUAACAGUGUGAGACAACGACUGCUGAGAGGGUGCCGCCCACCGGAAGAGCUCUGCACCUCGGUCUGGAAGAAUCAGUGCAAUGGGUUUAACUGGGCCCAGAAGCAGCAGGGCCAGGUGGCCCCACUGACUUGCCAACGGGGAGGGAUUUACUUAUUGUAAUGGGCAGCACGGGCAGCGUGAAUUUGACGGUGGCAUGACUUGUAUGGACCUUUGGUACCGGCUAAUCAAUCAUAGUGUCCCCAGGCAUGACACAGAUAGGAAGCCGACUGCAUUUUUGUUAGAUCUGUAUAAGCGGAAACAUUCUGAAGCAAAUGAAGAAAGACUACAUUGGGUCAUGGCAAAAGGGACUCUAGGCCUGUGAUCCAAUUCCAGGCUUGAGCCAGCUUGCAGACCCAGAAAUCCCUUGAAUGAAGGGAUGGCCAGGUUCCCCUGAGGAGGGACCUUGAUAAAAUACCUAAGAGUUCUACUGUUAGCAUCUCUCCAAUCCUUCCCUCAGAGGAACCUAUAGUCUUUUACAAGGGUAACGGUACACUGGGGGCACUGGGGAAGCAAUUAGACUUUCUGGGGUCUACUGGAGACUAGUUCUGAAUUGACACUGAUUCUGGGAUACCCGAAGAAACAUUGUGGCCCUCACGUUAAAAUAGGGGCUUGUGGAAGUCAGGUGACUAAUGGAACUUUGGCUGGUGUCUAACUCAUACGAGGCCUCCUAGGUUCUUGAACUCAUCCUGUGGUUAUUUCCCCAGUUCCAGAAAAUACAAUUGACAUAGAUACACUUAGAAGUGGCAGAAUUCUCCCAUUGGUCACCUGACCUGUGGAGUGAGGGCUAUUAUGGUUGGAAAGGCUGAACAGAGGCCUUUAGAGUUGCCUCUGCCAGACAAAACAGUGAAUCCAAAACAGAAUCGCAUCCUUGGGAGGGAAUAUUUCGGAUCCUCCACUGAUAGCCAUUGUUAGUCGAGCUGGACCUCAGCCUUUAAGCCAUUCUAAUAUAUCCAUUCAGUAAGUUCUGUUCCUCUAGAGAACGUGACUAAGACCCGAGUUCGAAAAGGCAGUGUACGUUUGUAAUCCUAGUGCCAAGAGGCGGAGGCAGGUGGAUCCCUGGAGCUUCUCAGCCGAUCAGUCGAGCCUCAUCAGCGACCCUCAGUUCCUAGAAUCUGUCUCCAAAGCUGAAGCCGAUGGCUCCUGAGGAACAACACCCAGUGGGUGCCUCCACAUACAUGUGUGUCCACCUGCACAUGUGUAUCUGUGCACAUGUCCUGCACACACAUAUGCAAAAUAAGCAAAUACAUGAUGUUAGUGUGCAUAACACUGUUGGACUAGGGCUCAUGAUUUGGAAUGGGAUCUUUCUGUUGUUCAGAAAUUGUAGUUAAUGCUCAAAUAUAAAAACAGAAUGUACUGUAGAAUCCUGGGUAGGCCUUCGUGAGCCACAGGAGGUCAGGGUCGGGUGCCUUUGGUUUUAUAAAGAUGGGAAUGAGAAGCUGGUAGUUCUGGAUCCUUCUCUGAGAGUUCCCACCAUGGGACUCAGAGCUUGUACAUCCAGGGCUCACAAAACAAACAAACAAAACAAACAA